GGGUUGUGAGGUUAAGCGACUAAGCGUACACGGUGGAUGCCCUGGCAGUCAGAGGCGAUGAAGGACGUGCUAAUCUGCGAUAAGCGUCGGUAAGGUGAUAUGAACCGUUAUAACCGGCGAUUUCCGAAUGGGGAAACCCAGUGUGAUUCGUCACACUAUCAUUAACUGAAUCCAUAGGUUAAUGAGGCGAACCGGGGGAACUGAAACAUCUAAGUACCCCGAGGAAAAGAAAUCAACCGAGAUUCCCCCAGUAGCGGCGAGCGAACGGGGAGCAGCCCAGAGCCUGAAUCAGUGUGUGUGUUAGUGGAAGCGUCUGGAAAGGCGUGCGAUACAGGGUGACAGCCCCGUACACAAAAAUGCACAUGCUGUGAGCUCGAUGAGUAGGGCGGGACACGUGGUAUCCUGUCUGAAUAUGGGGGGACCAUCCUCCAAGGCUAAAUACUCCUGACUGACCGAUAGUGAACCAGUACCGUGAGGGAAAGGCGAAAAGAACCCCGGCGAGGGGAGUGAAAAAGAACCUGAAACCGUGUACGUACAAGCAGUGGGAGCCUCUUUAUGGGGUGACUGCGUACCUUUUGUAUAAUGGGUCAGCGACUUAUAUUCUGUAGCAAGGUUAACCGAAUAGGGGAGCCGAAGGGAAACCGAGUCUUAACUGGGCGUUAAGUUGCAGGGUAUAGACC
rnacentral:rRNA from 1 species